CAGCCGCCGCGGUAAUACCGGCCCCGCGAGUGGUCGGGGUGAUUAUUGGGCCUAAAGCGUCCGUAGCCGGGCUGGUAAGUCCUCCGGGAAAUCUGGUCGCUUAACGAUCAGACUUCCGGAGGAUACUGCUGGCCUAGGGACCGGGAGAGGCCGAGGGUAUUCCCGGGGUAGGGGUGAAAUCCUGUAAUCCCGGGAGGACCACCUGUGGCGAAGGCGCUCGGCUGGAACGGGUCCGACGGUGAGGGACGAAGGCCAGGGGAGCGAACCGGAUUAGAUACCCGGGUAGUCCUGGCUGUAAACGAUGCGGACUAGGUGUCGGGCAAGCUAAGGGCUUGUCCGGUGCCGCAGGGAAGCCGUUAAGUCCGCCGCCUGGGGAGUACGGCCGCAAGGCUGAAACUUAAAGGAAUUGGCGGG
rnacentral:rRNA from 1 species